UCCCUCUCAGGAUCUCACCUGGAGAGUUUCCAGUACUCUGCCAGUCUUGGCUAUGGGAGAGAGAGUCAGGGAGAGGCCUACCCAUUCCAUUCCUAGCUUGGGAAGGGGGUAGCGAGUGGAAGGUAAUCUGCUACAAGU